CCUACGGGUGGCAGCAGUAGGGAAUCUUUCACAAUGGACGAAAGCCUGAUGGAGCAACGCCGCGUGCAUGAUGAAGGCCUUCGGAUUGUAAACUGCUUUUAUAGGCGAUGAAUAUGAUGAUGACUUAUGAAUAAGAAUCGGCUACCUACUUGACAGCAGCCGCGGUCAUACGUCGUAGCCGACAAUUGUCAGGAGAAACUAGGUGUAAAGAGUGGCGUAGGGGGCGUAAGGAGUAUCUGGUGAAAGCUGGUGGCUCAACCAUUCAGACUAUUAGCUAAACUGUUAAGCUAGAGAGCGAGAGGGGUAACUGGAAUUCCUAGUGUAGGAGUGAAAUCCGUAGAUAUUAGAAGGAACACCAAGAGCGUAGGCAGGUUGCUGGGACGGUGCUGACACUAAGGCACGAAAGCGUAGGGAGCAAACGGGAUUAGAUACCCUUGUAGUC
rnacentral:rRNA from 1 species